CUCAUAUUGAACCUAGUGAUGUAUGAGUUAGUGGCGGACGGGUGAGUAACGCGUGGAGAACCUGCCGUAUACUGGGGGAUAACACUUAGAAAUAGGUGCUAAUACCGCAUAAGCGCACAGCUUCGCAUGAAGCAGUGUGAAAAACUCCGGUGGUAUACGAUGGAUCCGCGUCUGAUUAGCUGGUUGGCGGGGUAACAGCCCACCAAGGCGACGAUCAGUAGCCGGCCUGAGAAGGUGAACGGCCACAUUGGGACUGAGACACGGCCCAAACUCCUACGGGAGGCAGCAGUGGGGAAUAUUGCACAAUGGGGGAAACCCUGAUGCAGCGACGCCGCGUGAGUGAAGAAGUAUUUCGGUAUGUAAAGCUCUAUCAGCAGGGAAGAAAUACUGACCUUACGGUCAGCAGACGGUACCUGACUAAGAAGCCCCGGCUAACUACGUGCCAGCAGCCGCGGUAAUACGUAGGGGGCAAGCGUUAUCCGGAUUUACUGGGUGUAAAGGGAGCGUAGACGGCAGCGCAAGUCUGAAGUGAAAUCCCAUAGCUUAACCAUGGAACUGCUUUGGAAACUGUGCAGCUGGAGUGCAGGAGAGGUAAGCGGAAUUCCUAGUGUAGCGGUGAAAUGCGUAGAUAUUAGGAGGAACACCAGUGGCGAAGGCGGCUUACUGGACUGUAACUGACGUUGAGGCUCGAAAGCGUGGGGAGCAAACAGGAUUAGAUACCCUGGUAGUCCACGCCGUAAACGAUGAUUACUA
rnacentral:rRNA from 1 species